rnacentral:rRNA from 1 species
GUGCCAGCAGCCGCGGUAAUACAGAGGUCCCAAGCGUUGUUCGGAUUCACUGGGCGUAAAGGGUGCGUAGGUGGCCGGGUAAGUUCGGUGUGAAAGCUCGGAGCUUAACUCCGAAAUGGCAUUGAAUACUAUCCGGCUUGAGGUUCGGAGGGGAGACUGGAAUUCUCGGUGUAGCAGUGAAAUGCGUAGAUAUCGAGAGGAACACCAGUGGCGAAGGCGAGUCUCUGGACGAAUCCUGACACUGAGGCACGAAAGCUAGGGGAGCAAACAGGAUUAGAUACCCGCGUAGUCC